rnacentral:misc_RNA from 1 species
GUAGGUGAACCUGCGGAAGGAUCAUUAAUGAGAUAGGGUCCCUGUGGCCCGAACCUCCAACCCCAUGAGUACCUACCACUGUUGCUUUGGCAUGGCAUGCGCUCCCCCCGGGGGGUGCCACCUAAUUCUUAGAUGUGCUCGCCUGUGCCUGCCGGAGUCACCAAAUAAACCCCCUUAACAAUGUAGUCUGAGUGAAAAUCAAUAGCUAAAAACUUUCAACAACGGAUCUCUUGGUUCUG